GACGAACGCUGGCGGCGUGCUUAACACAUGCAAGUCGAACGGAAAGGCCCUGCUUUUGUGGGGUGCUCGAGUGGCGAACGGGUGAGUAACACGUGAGUAACCUGCCCUUGACUUUGGGAUAACUUCAGGAAACUGGGGCUAAUACCGGAUAGGAGCUCCUGCUCCACGGGGGGGGUUGGAAAGUUUCGGCGGUGGGGGAUGGACUCUCGGCUUACCAGCUUGUUGGGGGGGUAGUGGCUUACCAAGCCUUUGACGGGUAGCCGGCCUUAGAGGGCGACCGGCCACAUUGGGCCUGAGAUACGGCCCAGACUCCUACGGGAGGCAGCAGUGGGGAAUAUUGCACAAUGGGCGGAAGCCUGAUGCAGCAACGCCGCGUGCGGGAUGACGGCCUUCGGGUUGUAAACCGCUUUCGCCUGUGACGAAGCGUGAGUGACGGUAAUGGGUAAAGAAGCACCGGCUAACUACGUG
rnacentral:rRNA from 1 species